CGCCCUUGAGUUUGAUCAUGGCUCAGAAUCAACGCUNGGCGGCGCGCUUAACACAUGCAAGUCGCACGAGAAAGGGGAGCAAUCCCUGAGUAAAGUGGCGUACGGGUGAGUAACACGUGGAUCAUCUACCUUCUGGUGGGGAAUACCCCCGGGAAACUGGGGACAAUACCGCAUAAGCUCGAAAGAGGAAAGCAGCAAUGCGCCGGAAGAGGAGUCCGCGGCCGAUUAUGCUAGUUGGCGGGGUAAUGGCCCACCAAGGCGAAGAUCGGUAGCCGGCCUGAGAGGGCACACAGCCACACUGGCACUGAAACACGGGCCAGACUCCUACGGGAGGCAGCAGUGGGGAAUCUUGCACAAUGGAGGAAACUCUGAUGCAGCGACGCCGCGUGAGCGAUUAUUUUUUUUGGGGUGUAAAGCUCUUUCGACGGGAACGAUAAUGACGGUACCCGAAGAAGAAGCUGCGGCUAACUACGUGCCAGCAGCCGCGGUAA
rnacentral:rRNA from 1 species